rnacentral:rRNA from 1 species
GACGAACGCUGGCGGCGUGCCUAAUACAUGCAAGUUGAGCGCUGAAGGUUGGUACUUGUACCAACUGGAUUAGCAGCGAACGGGUGAGUAACGCGUGGGGAAUCUGCCUUUGAGCGGGGGACAACAUUUGGAAACGAAUGCUAAUACCGCAUAAAAACUUUAAACACAAGUUUUAAGUUUGAAAGAUGCAAUUGCAUCACUCAAAGAUGAUCCCGCGUUGUAUUAGCUAGUUGGUGAGGUAAAGGCUCACCAAGGCGAUGAUACAUAGCCGACCUGAGAGGGUGAUCGGCCACAUUGGGACUGAGACACGGCCCAAACGCCUACGGGAGGCAGCAGUAGGGAAUCUUCGGCAAUGGACGAAAGUCUGACCGAGCAACGCCGCGUGAGUGAAGAAGGUUUUCGGAUCGGAAAACUCUGUUGGUAGAGAAGAACGUUGGUGAGAGUGGAAAGCUCAUCAAGUGACGGUAACUACCCAGAAAGCGACGGCUAACUACGUG